GGGAAUUUUAUUAUAAGGCCUAGGUGUAAUAUUAAUGAUCGCGGGAACUGGGAACGAGAAUGCACGCGCCCGUAAGCAAUCGGGUUUGCGAUCAUUCUCGAGCAUGCGUACUAACAUUUGGCGCCAUUAUCGAAAGUUGGCCGUUGGGAUUUGCUUCGACGAGGGAUACGGAUAAAAUACAAGCGUAAAACCUCGUUUGUUGCAGUAUAUUCUGCACAAAUAAACAAUUUAUUAGGAAAAUACGUUCAAGAAACGUCUCGUGCUGUACUAGCCUAAUUCUGGCAAAUGUUAUUUACUUUCUUCACCUUCGUGUCGAAGACUGUUGUUUGCUGAUGGCCAAAUCACGACAGCGGACAUCAAUUAUUCAAAAUAUGUUCUUAUAGCUUCACGUUUACGAUACGAAACACGUUUUAAUGUAAGAUUAUUUAUUUUUUGUAUAUGUAGGUUGUAGUUGAAAGUGACAGCGACAAUGAAAAAAGUGCAAACAACAUUGAAAUAUCCAGUUCACUACUAGCUCAAAUCCUGCGACAUAUCACAGUGACUUGCUAGUAGCCCAGUCUAGUUUAACCUUUCCCAAUCAAGAAUCAUCUCCUGAAUCAGGCAUACUGGUACUGGUUCAUUUGAUAAUGUAAGUUUUUAAACUGGUAUUUUAGAUUAUAGCCUCGGUCAAAUGAGGAUGAAAGUCAUGCAUGAAUUGCUUAUAAAUACACAAAGGACAUUUCAAGUUCCACACGAACAAAAUAUUAUUAAAGCUUUGAUGAGUGUUCCAACUAUGUUUCAACUUAAUUAAAAUACUCUCAUCCUCGUUUGAUCCAUAAUUAUUUGUUGAUUUUACUCGAUACUAAAUAGUGAAACAUCGAAUCCAGAUAAAAUCUUAUGCAGAACCCACUGUAAUUCCAAGCUGUAAUCACAUAAUUAUAUAAAAGUCGUUUCAGUAGCAGCAAAAGCCAAACUAAACACCAACUAGGAUUAAUAGGUUUAGCUUUUAAGCCGAGAAUAAUACACGAUUGACAAUUUUGUGGCUGAUUGAUUUAAUAGUAUAUAUACUGUAUAUUGAUGUUGUUGUAUACAUAACCUGAAGUUCAGGCCCUAUCACAGAAUAGGGCCUGACACAAAACCUAUCUAAAGUGUGGGAUUCCCGUCCACCUGGUGGACGGGAAAUCUGAUUGGUUGAUCAGCAUCAUGAAGGAUUUUGAUCGGUUGCAAGUUCACAUAAACAACAGUUUUAAAAAUAGCUCGGUCAAGGCGAGAAUUAAUAUAAAGGUCAAACGCACGUAACAAAUUCCAUUAUCGAUUUCUUCGAAUUUCUUUUCUUUUAUGCUUUAUGGAAGAAAAAUAAAUCAAACAAACAGUAUUUUGAAAGGGCUUCAUCAAAAUCUUUGACGAAUUUUGGACACACACGACGCUGAAAGAACAGCCAAACUAGUCCUGUAUUCGAAAGCUUGUUGUUGACAGCCAAGAUGUUCUGCCAACUUGCUUCGCCGGAAAAAGUCUUAUUUUUAAUAUCAGGUCCUACCGGCGUUGUUUUCUGAGCUACAUCGCCUUCUUCGUGGUAUGAUUGAGAAUUUAAUUGUUGCUGUUAUUAGCCCGUUAGUCGUUAGAGUAUAUCCGCGUCCAGCAAGUUGAGACCUUGAGAAAGCUUGGCAGUCAAGCCGUGCACAGAACUGACUAAUUAAAUCUUUGUUUGCUGUUCGCCUGUUCGGUUAAAUAGAGAAACUGACUCUUAAUUAUAUAAAAGUACCUUGAAUUUUUAAGUUUAAUUAAAAAGCAAAAUGCUCUGCGGACAUGUUCAUGAGAAUAUAAUUUUUUGUGUAACGAAAUCUACAACACUUGUCAAUCAUAUUGCAUGUGUGUCUAAAAAUAACAUGUGGGCGUCCCACGGUCUAGACAGGUUUUGUGUCAGGCCCUAUUUCAAAUUAGGGCCUGAACUUCAGGUUAUUGUAUACAGGACAUCUGACUUACAUGUCAAAUUAAUAGUCGAAUCUAUGAUUAUAUUGAGCAUGGCAGAUUUGACAUUUGAAACAUUGUUGAUGUUAAUAACCCAAUGAGUCGCAUUGCGCCCUGAUGCGCACUAAGUAUUUAUUAUUUUACUCUGGUUAUCUAACGCUAGGCAAUUUUACUCAUCAAGGGGAGAGCACUGGCGGUUAAUGUGUUAACUAGCCUAUCUGCCCAUGUUUACAGUUAACCCAUUGAGUCGCAUUGUGCCCUAAUGCGGCCUAAUUUAUUAUUUUACUCUGCCUAUCGCAGGACAAUUUUACUCAUUAAGGGCAGAGCGCUGGCGCUUAAUGUGUUAACUGGCCUAUCUGCCCAUGUGUCUAGUUAACCCAUUGAGUCGCAUUGCCUCCUAAUUUAUUAUUUUACUCUUUCUAACACCAGACAAUUUCACUCAUUAAGGGGAGAGCACCGGUACUUAAUUGGUUAACUGGCCUAUUUGCCCAUGUUUAUAGUUAACCCAUUGAGUCGCAUUGCGGCCUACUUUAUUUAUUUUACUCUGUCUCGAGAGGAGAACGCUGGUGCUUAAUGGGGUUAAUAUUGAAAAUAUAGAUCAACAUUUGUCAAAACUCAUGACUUGUGCAAUCAUUUCUGUAAUAAUUAAGAUAUUAAAAUACCAAAUAUAAUGCCUUAUGGCUUAUUUCAAAUAGGGAGAUGCUAUGUGACUAUGUCCAUUGAAAUUUAGUGGAUUUGUUGUAGCUACAUCAAAUAAAUGCUAGCCAAAAACAUAUUCAUUCAAGUCAAUCGAAGAUAAUGUAGAAUUGCACUUUACAUAAAAUUCCUUAGUUAUUGUACAUUAAUGAAAAAGCAUUUGAAAUGGAAAUAUAUUGUUUUAAUUUUAUUUCUAUGGUUUGUACUAUGAUAUACAUGGGCUAUACAGUCUUUGGGAACCCGCAGGGCUGUUGGCAAAGCAUUUCCAUGAUCUGGAACUUCAGUCCUAAACAAGAUGUGUGGGUGCGAAGAUGUUGUAUAGGAACAGAACUGUACAGAUUAGAAAUAUGAUUACUGAUAUUUUCCAAAGAAAAACUAUUAAUAUAUAGAAGAGGAAAGAAAGAGGCAAUAAAUAGCCCAAAGUAUCUGUUGUACAUUUGAAAUUUAAAAAUGGUAGACUUAUUAAGGGUGAGAUACAGAGAAAAACAGUAAUGCAGAACUACAUUCUCUUAAAUUGUCAAAAUUAAACGCCACCAGUCUUGGUCUCGUUUCAAACUUGAAUAACGAAAAGUCUAAAAAUAUAAAAACUAUAAGAACAGAUCAGCUAAGUCCAGUUAUAAAAUUAAAUGAUGAAGGAAAGCUGUCAUUUUAGGAAAGUAUUGUUUUGGGGUGUGUGAACUCAUGAGGUUACAUGUUUCUGGUGAAUCUGCUUGCUGCAGCAAAAAUUUAUUAAUCGUUUGUGACAUAAUUCACAAGAUGUCUAUUUUAACCUGUGGGUUGCCAAACUUCUUAAAUAUGGAAUUUGUUUUGUCUGACCAAGAUAUAAUGAAUACCCCCAGUGACAUGAGUAUGUCCAAUUAAUAUUUAACUAGAAAUAAAUGCAUGCAGCAACCCCUAGCCUAUAUUUUCCAAACAUUGAUUUAACAUGAACUAUUAGCAAUUGGCCAGUACUGAACACAGUCACAAUAUUUUAAAUUUUUUUGAGUAAUUUUGCAAGUGUUCAUACCACAGAAUCUACCAUACAUUAUUUUAAACAAAUAGAUAGGUGAAGUAAUUCAAACAAAAUUAUUUUGAACUUUAUUACUUUACUCUGUCGAACGCCUAUUCUACUCGUAAAGGGGAGAGCCCUGGUGCUUAAUGGGUUAAAUAAGAUUGUAUAGUUAUAUGUAUAUCAUGUAUGAUGUUUUUAUGCAGUCUCCCUGAAUCACUUGUACCAGGCUAUGGAAAUUCAUAAGAUAAGAUAAGAUAAGAUUUAAUUAUGCCUCUCUGGGCAACUCAUGCAUCUAAGAAAAUUACAGAAAUAUAAAUCUUACAGUAAUAUAUAUUACAAUUAUUAAAAAUUAGAAACAAGAAAUAUGUCUUCGCAUAGCAACCUCUGGAUGCAAUUUAAGAUAAGCAACAUGGUCAUUCUUAUCCGGAAUUCUGUUAAAGAUUUCUUGCGAUAAAUACCAAUAUCCGUGACGAGAAUCCGGGUUGUAACUUUUUAGAUCAUCAAGUCCUGCCUUAAAGGCUUUACACUAGGUGCACUGCAUACUUAACAGAGUUUGGUAAAUUGUUCCAAUACUUAAUUACUCUUACGCUAAAACAAUCUAACGCAAAUCUGGUCCUACAGGAUGAUACAUUGCAUAAAUUACGAGUACUAUAAUGCAAAUUAUGGUUAAACAUUUGAUGGCCAUAGUUAACAUGUCCGUUAAUAAUCUUGUAUGCUUCAAUAAGAUCACCCCGCAUUCUACAUGUUUCCAAUUUUGUAUUUAUUUUUCUUAUGAUACAGUAUACUGUAAAUUUGAAUAAUAUUUGUGUGCUUAUAGUGAGCUUAUUUUUAGGAGAGUUUGUUGCGAGGCAGCAUAUAUUUUGAUAUUUCAAAAUAUUACUGUAUAUUGGUAUGUUAUACUUAAUGCUUUUGGAAGGGUUAUAGUGGUCGGGUGUGAUAUACUUUUUCAGGUAUUUUGUGUCUGAUGUAUGUAAGAGCUUUAUUAUUGGGUUUCUUGGUGAGACCUUAUAUAUCUUAUGUGUCCUAUAACCCUCUGUAAUUGCGGAUUAUUGCAUACAUUCUAAUUGUAUUUUUUUGUAGGAGUCCAAAGAUGCAAAUGAUACAAUUUCAAACUUAUCACAACCCAUAUUGUGGUCGCUGGCAGCGAAGUAGAAUACGACUAGAAACUGUCAAUCAUACGUUAUCGAGGGAAAGGAUGAAAGUUCCAUAACAAGCAACAGUUGAUGCAAUUAUCGCCUUAUUGGCAAGUUUUUACAUCUUCAAUAUUGAGUACUGCCACACGAAGAGCAUCUUGUCUGCCUUGCAGACUAUAGUAGUGCAUGGGCAACACAGAAAAUGGCAUACAACUGCCAAUAGUGAGUUUAAGCAAGUGACGUUUUUGACAACACGGACGUCGACCGGAGGUAAAGUUGACGUUUUUCACCAAUCACAGUCCUUGAUCCAGUCUUCUGACGUUGCUCAUGCCGUCAGUGUUGUCAAAAACGUCACUUGCUUAAGCUCACUAAUGAGGGUCACAGCCCUCUUCAAUGACUUGUCAUGACUCAUGAAUAUUAGUACUACAGUAAUUUUACACUUUUUGAGAGUUAUGUUGACAUAUGCUAACCCAAGUUAAUGUUAUUGAUGGAAUGUGUGUAUUGUCUCACAUCUCACCGAACUGUGGUAAUGUAUUAUAAAUUAUUCGUAUUGCGUUCACGUUAACAACCGCGGCCACAUUGAUUGCUCUUUAAAAUUAGAAUUGUAAACUUUCGGAGCCAUAUGGCAUAUAUGUACGAAUCUUUUGAUGGUUCCCACAUUUCGGUGAGAUACAUAAUACUGACUACUGUGCAUGUAUAUUGUAAUUUUAGUUAUAGUAUUGUGCUUAUAAUACAGAAAUUGGAACAUUAUUUAUCUCAACUUAUAUUACAAUAAUUAAUUCCAAUCUUGGUCUGUUGGAGAAAUUGUAAUAAGACCAAAU